CAGCGGGGGCGGGAGUAUUCCAAAUCUGUUUAAAAAACGACCGAUCUGCUCUGGACGCUCGGGGAUAUUGGCCAAUACUUCCCUUUACCGGUGCGCGGCAUCUCCCCCCAAGUGCCCCGCCGGCCAAAGUACCGAGGAUCGCGUACUUUGUUUUACUCCUAAUGGUCUUGACCCGGAUUCAUCCCCCAGAACCCGG
rfam:Pseudomonas sp. FeS53a scaffold5.1, whole genome shotgun sequence.